rnacentral:rRNA from 1 species
GCGGCCUAUCAGCUUGUUGGUGAGGUAAUGGCUCACCAAGGCGACGACGGGUAGCCGGCCUGAGAGGGCGACCGGCCACACUGGGACUGAGACACGGCCCAGACUCCUACGGGAGGCAGCAGUGGGGAAUAUUGGGCAAUGGAGGAAACUCUGACCCAGCGACGCCGCGUGCGGGAUGAAGGCCCUCGGGUUGUAAACCGCUUUCAGCAGGGAAUAAGCGAAAGUGAAGGUACCUGCAGAAGAAGCGCCGGCUAACUAUGUGCCAGCAGCCGCGGUAAUACAUAGGGUGCAAGCGUUGUCCGGAAUUAUUGGGCGUAAAGAGCUCGUAGGUGGUUCGAUACGUCGGAUGUGAAAAUCAGGGGCUCAACCCCUGACCUGCAUCCGAUACGGUCGAGCUGGAGUUUGGUAGGGGAGACUGGAAUUCCU